UGUACACUAUGUGAAGAGCUAUUCUCUUGGAGGCCCUUCAGUUCAGGCCACCAGCUAUGUCUCUAGGCCACCAGAGAAACCUAGGUGCCCUGGGAGCUCAAUUCUGCAACUGUCAUCAUGAAAAAUGCCAAAGGAGAAGUAUACUAGGAGUGACGGACUUAUUUGCUGGCUUUCGUAUUGUUGGGAAAGGACGGGCAAUUUGAUUGAUUCUCAGGAGUUCUUCUGCUAGUAAUGAGAAAACUGGAAUUCCAAGAAGUAAAGUGGCUUACCCAGAAUCCCCUUGUCAGCAGUGCAUUAGAUGUUGCCG